rnacentral:rRNA from 1 species
UACGUAGGGCGCAAGCGUUGUCCGGAAUUAUUGGGCGUAAAGAGCUCGUAGGCGGUUUGUCGCGUCUGUCGUGAAAGCUUGGGGCUUAACCCCAAGUCUGCGGUGGAUACGGGCAGACUAGAGGCAGGUAGGGGAGAACGGAAUUCCCGGUGUAGCGGUGAAAUGCGCAGAUAUCGGGAGGAACACCGGUGGCGAAGGCGGCCCUCUGGACGGAUACUGACGCUGAGACGCGACAGCGUGGGGAGCAAACAGG